rfam:Steinernema glaseri strain NC unplaced genomic scaffold GLAS_4161, whole genome shotgun sequence.
GCCGGUUUAGCUCAGUGGUAGAGCGUCUGUCUCGUAAACAGAAGGCCGCAGGUUCGAACCCUGCAAUCGGCA